rnacentral:lncRNA from 1 species
AGAGUGGAACCUCCUGUUCAGGGCUGGCAAGGUCCAGACUGGAGCUGUCACACAACCCCAUGAAAUCACCUCAGAGAGUGUACAGCAGGCAGCGGGACCCCCUCCCUCUCUGUUCUUCAGAUGCUACAAGAUCGCAGACUCCGGGAUACCGAAGCCUGAUAGUCUCCUGGCAUUUGUGGAGGAUGCCUAAUUAGGUACAUAUGAGGUUAUAAGGAGGGAGCCCCUGUGAUGGGGGAUCAGUACCUUCCAGAAGAGGAAACAACUGGAGUCUCCCUCUAUCAUGUCAGGACAUAGUGAGACAGUAGCUUUCUAUAACCCUACCAGUUGCAACACAGGAUGUCACCUUAAUCUUGGGCUCCCCAGCCUCCAGAACCAUGAGGAAUAAAUGUGACUUGAGCAGCUGGCUCUUGAGUGCUUUGUUACAGUAGACUUGAGUUCAUGCUGGUCUUCAGGAAGAAUAUUUGAUAUUGGCUUUUGGACAUAUGUUAAAGGAAUAAAAACAGAACCAUAUAUGUCUAUAGGAACUAUGGAGUCAAGACGGUGUCAUCCCUGCACGGUGAAAAGACCAGGCCAAGUACUGAAGAAACUGACGUAACACCAUCAGUUCCAUUGACACAGACAAGAGACAAUCAGCAAGCCAGGCUCAGAUGGUUUCUGAGAGAAUGGUGACAUCUGGACAUCCAGGGAGCAUAGCAGAGGUACCGGUGAGAGAAAAGCGUAGAGUGAGCAGCCAGUGCAGGCUGAGAAGGAAUAUUAGGGGGUUAGUGAGGAGUCUAGCCAUAUAAGCAGUGUGCUGAACUGUAAGGCUGGAACUGAGCGCUGAUCUGGCCAAAGCACUGAGGUUAGCCCCCUGCUCCCCAUCAUCCCCAUGGCUCUCUGGAACUCAGGCUUAAAUCUGCAACGCUCUGGAGUAGUGUGUGUGUUUCUAACUUCUGCAUUCCCUGCCCCCCACCCCGACACCGCUGGACCCCAAAGUCUCAAGUCCUACGCCCUUUUCACAUGAGUGAGGGUGGACAGCUGGACAGUGUGGCCUCCCAAGUGGCUAUGGGAAGGGGCUAUGCUGUCCGCUCCCCCUCAGUCUUCCGCCCGCUGUGAAAUCCACAUCAGCUGGAGAUGCCCACGAGGACUGUUUCCAUCUGUUCUCAUUCUGGUUGGUGAGAAAGGCUCAGAAUUGGAGAGGCCAGUGUUUGGGGGGGGCGGGGCAGGGGACAGGAAGGACCCACUGCAAAGGCAUGCUCAGCCUGCCCCAGGAACAGCUGCCCUGGAGGCUCCCCGCUUCCCGGCAGUUCUCCAAUCGCCCGUUUUGUAGCCGGGCUGCUAAUGAUGCAAUUAAGUUCAUCAGGGGAACAUCUGUUCUGAAUGAUCGGACCACUGGCUGCCCUCUGAGGGAGGCUGGACUCAAGCAACUAAAGAACCGGGAGCCAGGGGCCUCAAAACGAGCCCUGCGAUUUUAUCGGUCAUCUCCAAACUAAACCACAAGUAUCCUUGGAGACUCUGCCGGCAUCCGAGGACAGAGGUGUGUUCAUGCCACGGUCCACCAUGGUCCAUGAGUCUCAGGGCACUGACAACACCGCCCCUCAGAGGCUCCUUUCAGCUCUGGAGACUGGGGUACCCUCCUGAACUGCUGCUGUUAUAAUGCUUGGCAGUUUCCCCGGCUUCUGGCCUAUAGACAAAGGCUCACAUACAGAUGUUUGUUCUGGGCCAACCUCCAGGCUCAGAAGUGAAGUAGUAUGGGACUGAGACAGAGGAAUAGUUGUGAGGAAUAGUUGCUGAGUAGCUACCCUGGGGCUGUGGGGGGCAGGCGGGGAGAAGCAGGGCCUGGUUCCUUGAGAACUUCUGAAGAACUCUGAGAAAUUUACCGGGGAUCUGUCCACCCCAUAAGUGAAAGAGGAAAGCGUUAACCUAAAGGCUUCUGUCCUCUUGAAGAUGUGCAAGAGCGAGUGUCACUCUCACAGGGGUCAGAGCGAGAGCCGAGAGCCCUGUGUGCUGUCACCCCAGGGCAAGGUGCUGGUAUGCGGUCUGCAGGCUGCUGAGCUGCCUCCUGCCUGCAGGAAAAGAGAGAUGGCAGGAUCCUGAUAACAGGGCUCUGUCUUGGGGAUCCAGGGCACAGACUACAGCUGUGCUCCCAGGCUACACCUUGGAUUCUCAUGGCACUAACCUCCUGUCCACACCCUAUCACUUCUGUGGCAUAUUAUUACAAAUUAACAGCUUGAAGCAACACUAAUGUGUGUGUGUGUGUGUGUGUAAAACAGUAGUAUAUAAUAAUAUUAUAUACUGAACACUAAUAUAUACUAUUGCAGAAUAUAUAAAUGUAUUAUAAUAUAACAUAGAGUAUAAUAAUUCAUUAUAUUAUAUAUAACUAUAUUUUACAUAUAUAGCAUAUAUUGCAGAUAUUAUAUAUAAAUAUAAUAU